GAUGAAGAACGCAGCGAAACGCGAUAGUUAAUGUGAAUUGCAGAAUUCAGUGAAACAUCGAGUCUUUGAACGCACAUUGCGCCCAUUGGUAUUCCGUUGGGCAUGUCUGUUUGAGCGUCAUUACAACAGUUCAGCGUAAGCUGGUUAUGAGUUCUGUUUUUUUAAACAAAAAACAGGCUUUAAAAUGUAUGUUCUGCAGGUCGCUUUGCUAAACCCUAAACAUUAAAUACUGUUCUAGUGAAGCAUUUGCGACUCUGCCUGAAAAAAAACUUUUGUUAAAGUUUGACCUCAGAUCAGACAAGGAUACCCGCUGAACUUAAGCAUAUCAAUAAGCGGAGGA
rnacentral:misc_RNA from 1 species